rnacentral:rRNA from 1 species
ACUCGAGUGGCGAACGGGUGAGUAACACGUGGGUGAUCUGCCCUGCACUUCGGGAUAAGCCUGGGAAACUGGGUCUAAUACCGGAUAGGAGCCAUUUUUAGUGUGAUGGUUGGAAAGUUUUCGGUGUAGGAUGAGCUCGCGGCCUAUCAGCUUGUUGGUGGGGUAAUGGCCUACCAAGGCGGCGACGGGUAGCCGGCCUGAGAGGGUGGACGGCCACAUUGGGACUGAGAUACGGCCCAG